CGUACUUCGAUUUGAUUUAUAACUCGCAUAUAAUAAUCACAAUUUCGGUAAUAAAAUUACGAGUCGUGAGAGCGAUAUAGCGCGAUUAGUGUCAAAUAUGCUUUUUCGCGUAGGAAAUAUAAUAAUAUUCACGAUUUCGGGAUAUAAACGUUCUCAAGGAAAUCGAUGAGUGAUGUACUUCCUUGAUUCAGAGAUAUAGCGACUAACCGUUAGAUCGGUGAAUACUUACCAAUUAGAUAGACGGACAAUCCUGAAGAGAUUCUAUCAGAGAACCGUCGUGGGAAGGUUCAAAAACAGUGGAUUGACAAGACGCACGAGUUUUCUUGUUUAGUAUACGGACUAACGACUUCUUAUUUAUCAAUCAUUGAUGUACAGGUAAGAACACAUAAACUGGUCGUAGUUGAGAUAAUUAUCAAUCAAAGUUUUCAAAGUUUUGAACUUUUUUAUAUAUAUUCUCAUAAUUUGUUAAAAAAUGGUUCCUUUCUACACCAACUACGUCCAACUGUAAAUUAUAAUAUUAUGUGUAACUUACUAGUUUAUUUUUAUUUUCUGUCUAAACACCGCAGUUUCCUUGUAUUUUUAUUGUAAAGAAUAUUUCAUGAGAACGGGAAUAACUUGUAAUAAUAACAAUUGGCAAAUAACUCUUAAUAAUAAUAAUAAUACAUUAAUUCUUAUAUAUGUAAUAUUGAAAUAUUUCUAUAAUGCACUUCAUAAAAUCAGGCGUUAUUACAAGGCGAUAUUGCAUAAAGUUUUAAUCAGUAAGUUACACGUAAUAUUUAACAUUGUAAUACAAAUUAUUUGUAUAAUGUAAUUACACAUACAUGCAAAACAGUCAAUUUUUUUAUACUGAUUAGAGACUCGACUCGAAAUCAUAAUUCUUAACUAAUAUAACUAUACUAAUCUUACAAAAAAUAUAAAGUUAUUAGUAAUAAUAAUCAAAUUUUACAUUAUUUAAACGAGCAAUAUAUAAACUUUAAUGAGUCUUACAGUUUUUAUCGCAUAAUUAUUUAUAAAAAAUGCAAUUUGUCUUUAAUUAUACAUUUGUUAGUUGAGCGUACGAAAGAAUGAGAUUUAUAUAAUUUAGUGUAUGUAAAGAAAUUGCACACACAAGUAUAAAUAAUUCAGAAUGUACUAGUUAAAGAAUAAUGAUGCAUUUUUUCUGUAUUGCAUAAAUAGAAGAAAUUAUAAUUGUACAUCAAUGUGUAUAUUGCAACAGGUAGGUUCUCUCUUUCCUCUUACAAUUAAUAUAAUAAUAUAUAAUUUAUAUGUAGCGUAUACACUCAGUAAAAAUUGAAUUUUAUUAUAAAGAGAUAAAUAUUUUUAUUAGAGUUUCUUAUUUUUCUAUCAAAUUUAAAAUCAUAUCAUGCUAAGCCCAAAUAUUAUUUUCGAUAGAAAAAGAAAUUUAAAUAUCUGCGUAUACUUAAGGAUAUUUUGUGUGUUUAAUUUUUUCUAUUUUAACUGAAAUUUUUAUACUAUUUUUUAAGUAAACUGUGAAUUGUUGAUACUAUCAUCCGUGUAAAUAGCUAAUUAAAAAAUGAUAGAUUUUUAUAAUUAUCAUAAAAAUAAUUAUAAUAGAUUUAUAAUUAUCGUGUUAUACGCACAUAUAAAUCGUAUCUCGUUUAUAUUCUAUUGAAAAACUAUAAUAUUCGAAAUCUCUCAAACGUAAUUCUAGAGCAUAUGUUUGGCACGAUGAAGAGGUAUUUGCAAUCGUUUUCUAACAUCUAUUUUCAUUGCAUCAAUCACUUUGGCCCAUUGAAAUACAAGACUCAUAGAAAAGCGCAAUACAAUCAAAUUUUUAUU